rnacentral:tRNA from 1 species
CAAAAAAUAGUUUAAUAGAAUAUUAAUUUUGGAGAUUAAAGGUAUAAAUAUUUAUUUUUUUGA